CCUACGGGUGGCAGCAGUGAGGAAUAUUGGUCAAUGGGCGCGAGCCUGAACCAGCCAAGUAGCGUGAAGGAUGACUGCCCUACGGGUUGUAAACUUCUUUUAUAAAGGAAUAAAGUGAGGCCCGUGUGCCUUUUUGUAGUUACUUUAUGAAUAAGGAUCGGCUAAAUCCGUGCCAGCAGCCGCGGUAAUACGGAGGAUCCGAGCUUUAUCCGGAUUUAUUGGGUUUAAAGGGAGCGUAGAUGGGUUGGUAAGUCAGUUGUGAAAGUUUGGGGCUAAACCGUAAAAUUGCAAUUGAUACUGGCAGUCUUGAGUACAGUUGAGGUAGGCGGAAUUCGUGGUGUAGCGGUGAAAUGCUUAGAUAUCACGAAGAACCCCGAUUGCGAAGGCAGCUUACUAAAGUGCAACUGACAUUGAUGCUCGAAAGUGUGGGUAUCAAACAGGAUUAGAUACCCGUGUAGUC
rnacentral:rRNA from 1 species